rnacentral:rRNA from 1 species
UUGAAGAGUUUGAUCAUGGCUCAGAUUGAACGCUGGCGGCAGGCCUAACACAUGCAAGUCGAGCGGAAACGAGUUAACUGAACCUUCGGGGGACGUUAACGGCGUCGAGCGGCGGACGGGUGAGUAAUGCCUAGGAAAUUGCCCUGAUGUGGGGGAUAACCAUUGGAAACGAUGGCUAAUACCGCAUGAUGCCUACGGGCCAAAGAGGGGGACCUUCGGGCCUCUCGCGUCAGGAUAUGCCUAGGUGGGAUUAGCUAGUUGGUGAGGUAAGGGCUCACCAAGGCGACGAUCCCUAGCUGGUCUGAGAGGAUGAUCAGCCACACUGGAACUGAGACACGGUCCAGACUCCUACGGGAGGCAGCAGUGGGGAAUAUUGCACAAUGGGCGCAAGCCUGAUGCAGCCAUGCCGCGUGUGUGAAGAAGGCCUUCGGGUUGUAAAGCACUUUCAGUCGUGAGGAAGGUAGUGUAGUUAAUAGCUGCAUUAUUUGACGUUAGCGACAGAAGAAGCACCGGCUAACUCCGUGCCAGCAGCCGCGGUAAUACGGAGGGUGCGAGCGUUAAUCGGAAUUACUGGGCGUAAAGCGCAUGCAGGUGGUUUGUUAAGUCAGAUGUGAAAGCCCGGGGCUCAACCUCGGAAUAGCAUUUGAAACUGGCAGACUAGAGUACUGUAGAGGGGGGUAGAAUUUCAGGUGUAGCGGUGAAAUGCGUAGAGAUCUGAAGGAAUACCGGUGGCGAAGGCGGCCCCCUGGACAGAUACUGACACUCAGAUGCGAAAGCGUGGGGAGCAAACAGGAUUAGAUACCCUGGUAGUCCACGCCGUAAACGAUGUCUACUUGGAGGUUGUGGCCUUGAGCCGUGGCUUUCGGAGCUAACGCGUUAAGUAGACCGCCUGGGGAGUACGGUCGCAAGAUUAAAACUCAAAUGAAUUGACGGGGGCCCGCACAAGCGGUGGAGCAUGUGGUUUAAUUCGAUGCAACGCGAAGAACCUUACCUACUCUUGACAUCCAGAGAAUUUUUCAGAGAUGAAUUGGUGCCUUCGGGAACUCUGAGACAGGUGCUGCAUGGCUGUCGUCAGCUCGUGUUGUGAAAUGUUGGGUUAAGUCCCGCAACGAGCGCAACCCUUAUCCUUGUUUGCCAGCGAGUAAUGUCGGGAACUCCAGGGAGACUGCCGGUGAUAAACCGGAGGAAGGUGGGGACGACGUCAAGUCAUCAUGGCCCUUACGAGUAGGGCUACACACGUGCUACAAUGGCGCAUACAGAGGGCGGCCAACUUGCGAAAGUGAGCGAAUCCCAAAAAGUGCGUCGUAGUCCGGAUUGGAGUCUGCAACUCGACUCCAUGAAGUCGGAAUCGCUAGUAAUCGUGGAUCAGAAUGCCACGGUGAAUACGUUCCCGGGCCUUGUACACACCGCCCGUCACACCAUGGGAGUGGGCUGCAAAAGAAGUAGGUAGUUUAACCUUCGGGGGGACGCUUACCACUUUGUGGUUCAUGACUGGGGUGAAGUCGUAACAAGGUAGCGCUAGGGGAACCUGGCGCUGGAUCACCUCCUU